rnacentral:rRNA from 1 species
UACGUAGGGGGCAAGCGUUGUCCGGAUUUAUUGGGCGUAAAGAGCGUGUAGGCGGCCAGGUAGGUCUGCUGUGAAAACUCGAGGCUCAACCUCGAGAUGUCGGCGGAAACCAUCUGGCUAGAGUCCGGAAGAGGAGAAUGGAAUUCCCGGUGUAGCGGUGAAAUGCGCAGAUAUCGGGAAGAACACCCGUGGCGAAGGCGGUUCUCUGGGACGGUACUGACGCUGAGACGCGAAAGCGUGGGGGAGCGAACAGG